rnacentral:ribozyme from 14 species
ACUGCAAACAAACAAGUACAUGAGAGAAGGAAGCACAAAAGAAACCAAGGUCAUGACAUGAAAAAAGGAACCACAAACAAAAACACAACAUAAUUGUGUGCAUUUUCU